AGUACCUACCUCUUAAGGGUCUUGUGAAGAUCGUGCUUGGCAUCCCCUUAAAUCUCCAUAAAUGCUGCUCAUGGGAUCCUGUCUAUCCAUGGGGCCACAGGACCCAUCAACAUCCUCAGCUCCUGCUUCCUCCCAUGAGGUAUACCGUUAGACUUCGCCUCCCUGUACUCUUAAGCAGCAGCAAGCCAUCAUCCACCUGCCUGGGUCUGGCCUCCUGAUGUAUCCCUAGAGGACCCUCGCAGAGGCUUUCUCCCAGCCAGACGGUUUACCCUCCUCUAGGCUAUCUUCCACCGCCAAGCUCCUUCAAGGCAUUGAUCAUUCCUAUCUGACCCACCUUGGCAGCUACACCCAGUUGACUGCACCUCCAGCAGGACCCCAAAACCUGAACGAGAUUCCAAACCUCCCCAUCUGCAGGUGCCAUCUGGAAUUCCACCCAGAACUCCCUGUCUAGUUCAUUGGCCUGGCAACUUCUUUCUCCCCUUCCUCUGCCUUCUCUGAUGCCCUGACCCCUCUAGGCCAAGCUCAUCCCUGCAGCCUUUAGGGGAAGGAACUGGGAAUCCAGGCAGAAGGAACAGCAUGUGCAAAAGUUUAGAGGUGUGGAAGAGCCAGGAGAACCAGCUAUAGGCUGGCUCAGUGUGCAGCUGGAGAAAAUGCAGGAAUGUUAAAGUCAGCUAAGGAAGAGCAUCAAAUGCCAUAUCUGAAUUCUGUCUUGAUGGGUUUUAAGUAGGAGAAUGAGGAAUCAUAACCACAUCUGCCAUUAGAAAGGUCACUGGCUGACCUUUGUGGUGGCAGCAGGGGUUACCGGCAUUCAGUUGCUGGUAUGCAGCUUUCUGUUCACGCCCAGGAGCUACACACCCUUGACGUGACUGGCCAGGGCACGAUAGCCCAGAUCAAGGCUCACACAGACUUGUUGGAGGGCAUCACUCCAAGGAGAUCAAGUCCUGCUCCUUGCAGGCACACCCCUAGACGAUGAAGCUACCAGGGCCAGUGUGGGGUGGAGGCUCCGACCACUCUGGAAGUAACCAUCCACAUGCUUGGAGGUAAAGUCCAUGGUUCCCUGGGCCGUGCUGGGAGAAUAAGAGGGCAGACCCAAAGUGGCCAAACAGGAGAAAAAGAAGACAGGCCAGGCCAAGCAGUGGAUGCAGAACUGGUGUUUGUUAAUGCUGUGCCCGCCUUUGGCAAGAAGGGCCCCAGUGCCAACUCUUAA